GUUUCCGUGGUGUAGUGGUUAUCACAUCCGCCUAACACGCGGAAGGUCCCCGGUUCAAUCCCGGGCGGAAACA
rnacentral:tRNA from 2 species